AGAGCGAACGCUGGCGGCAGGCCUAACACAUGCAAGUCGAGCGCCCGUAGCAAUACGGGAGCGGCAGACGGGAUAGUAACACGUGGGAACGCGCCCUUCGGUUCGGAAUAACUCAGGGAAACUUGAGCUAAUACCGAAUACGCCCUUACGGGGAAAGAUUUAUUGCCGAAGGAACGGCCCGCGUCCGAUUAGCUAGUUGGUGAGGUAAUGGCUCACCAAGGCUACGAUCGGUAGCUGGUCUGAGAGGAUGACCAGCAUCACUGGGACUGAGACACGGCCCAGACUCCUACGGGAGGCAGCAGUGGGGAAUAUUGGACAAUGGGCGAAAGCCUGAUCCAGCCAUGCCGCGUGGAUGAUGAAGGCCUUAGGGUUGUAAAGUCCUUUUAACGGGGAGAUAAUGACGGUACCCGUAGAAUAAGCCCGGCUAACUUCGUGCCAGCAGCCGC
rnacentral:rRNA from 1 species